rnacentral:rRNA from 1 species
GACGAACCGUACGAACGUUAUUCGGAAUCACUGGGCUUAAAGGGUGCGUAGGCGGCGCGACAAGUUGGGUGUGAAAUCCCUCGGCUCAACCGAGGAACUGCGCCCAAAACUGUCGUGCUCGAGGGAGACAGAGGUGAGCGGAACUUAGGGUGGAGCGGUGAAAUGCGUUGAUAUCCUAAGGAACACCGGUGGCGAAAGCGGCUCACUGGGUCUCUGCUGACGCUGAGGCACGAAAGCUAGGGUAGCGAACGGGA